CACGUAGGGGGCGAGCGUUGUCCGGAUUCAUUGGGCGUAAAGGGCGCGCAGGCGACCCGGCAAGUACGGCAUGUGAAAACUCGAGGCUCAACCUCGAGCGUGCACCCGAUACUGCCGGGCUUGAGGCAGGUAGGGGAGAUCGGAAUUCCUGGUGUAGCGGUGAAAUGCGCAGAUAUCAGGAGGAACACCGGUGGCGAAGGCGGAUCUCUGGGCCUGUCCUGACGCUGAGGCGCGAAAGCUAGGGGAGCGAACAGG
rnacentral:rRNA from 1 species